rnacentral:rRNA from 1 species
GAGCUUGCUCCCUGAUUCAGCGGCGGACGGGUGAGUAAUGCCUAGGAAUCUGCCUGGUAGUGGGGGACAACGUCUCGAAAGGGACGCUAAUACCGCAUACGUCCUACGGGAGAAAGCAGGGGACCUUCGGGCCUUGCGCUAUCAGAUGAGCCUAGGUCGGAUUAGCUAGUUGGUGAGGUAAUGGCUCACCAAGGCGACGAUCCGUAACUGGUCUGAGAGGAUGAUCAGUCACACUGGAACUGAGACACGGUCCAGACUCCUACGGGAGGCAGCAGUGGGGAAUAUUGGACAAUGGGCGAAAGCCUGAUCCAGCCAUGCCGCGUGUGUGAAGAAGGUCUUCGGAUUGUAAAGCACUUUAAGUUGGGAGGAAGGGCAGCUAAUUAAUACUUCGCUGUUUUGACGUUACCGACAGAAUAAGCACCGGCUAACUCUGUGCCAGCAGCCGCGGUAAUACAGAGGGUGCAAGCGUUAAUCGGAAUUACUGGGCGUAAAGCGCGCGUAGGUGGUUUGUUAAGUUGAAUGUGAAAUCCCCGGGCUCAACCUGGGAACUGCAUCCAAAACUGGCAAGCUAGAGUAGGGCAGAGGGUGGUGGAAUUUCCUGUGUAGCGGUGAAAUGCGUAGAUAUAGGAAGGAACACCAGUGGCGAAGGCGACCACCUGGGCUCAUACUGACACUGAGGUGCGAAAGCGUGGGG